rnacentral:misc_RNA from 1 species
GAAAUGCGAUAAGUAAUGUGAAUUGCAGAAUUCAGUGAAUCAUCGAAUCUUUGAACGCACAUUGCGCCCGGCAGCAAUCUGCCGGGCAUGCCUGUCCGAGCGUCAUUUCUGCCCUCGAGCGCGGUUCGGCCCCUAGCGGGCCGGCCGCCGCCCGGUGUUGGGGCGCUGCGGGCCCUCGUGCCCGCAGGCCCUGAAAUGAAGUGGCGGUCCCGCCGCGGCGCCCCCUGCGUAGUAGUAAAGCACCUCGCAUCGGGUCCCGGCGGAGGCCAGCCGUCGAACCUCUCUUUUGAUGGUUUGACCUCGGAUCAGGUAGGGUUACCCGCUGAACUUAAGC